rnacentral:rRNA from 1 species
UUCUGGGGUAGUAUUUAUUARAUGGAAACCAACCCCUUCGGGGUGAUGUGGUGAUUCAUAAUAAGCUUGCAGAUCGCCGGUGGCGAUGGAUCAUUCAAGUUUCUGCCCUAUCAGCUUUGGACGGKAUGGUAUGGGCCUACCGKGGCUUUAACGGGKAACGGGGAAUUAGGGUUCGAUUCCGGAGAGGGGGCCUGAGAGAUGGCCACCACAUCCAAGGAAGGCAGCAGGCGCGUAAAUUACCCAAUCUUGACACAAGGAGGUAGUGACAAUAAAUAACAAUGCCGGGCCUUUAUAGGUCUGGCAAUUGGAAUGAGAACAAUUUAAACCCCUUAUCGAGGACCAAUUGGAGGGCAAGUCUGGUGCCAGCAGCCGCGGUAAUUCCAGCUCCAAUAGCGUAUAUUAAAGUUGUUGCGGUUAAAAAGCUCGUAGUCGUAUUUCGGGCGUGCCCGCUGGUCCGUUCUUCGAGAAUGUGUAUCGGUGCGGCACGUCUUGUUGCACGAAACGCGCUUCUGGGCUUCACUGCUCGGGACGUGGGUCGUGCGUUGUUACUUUGAGUAAAUUAGAGUGUUUAAAGCA